rnacentral:lncRNA from 1 species
AUAAUUAGGCCUUAAGAAUUAACAAAAGACCCAGAAACAAAUCCUAUGUUAAAAAUUGAAAAGAAAAAAAAACCCAAGUUUCCUAUAAUAAAAAAGGUUUAGUCUUUGGGAAAAUGGCAUAGAAUUGUUAGCUAUAUAACAAUGAAAAAAAUAUAUAUAUAUAGCUGAAUUCUGAAAGAAAAAAGGGAAAAUAAUGAAUAUAGCUUGAAGAUGAAGAAGGUAAAGAAUGAUGAAAGAGAGAGAGAGGAAAUGAAAAUAAAUUUUUUUGUG